UACAGAGGGUGCGAGCGUUAAUCGGAAUUACUGGGCGUAAAGCGUGCGCAGACGGUCACGUAAGUCGGGUGUGAAAGCCCCGGGCUCAACCUGGGAAUUGCAUUCGAGACUGCGUGGCUAGGGUGCGGAAGAGGGAAGCGGAAUUCCGGUGUAGCGGUGAAAUGCGUAGAUAUCGGAAGGAACACCAGUGGCGAAAGCGGACUUCCUGGUCCAGCACCGACGUCAGGCACGAAAGCGUGGG
rnacentral:rRNA from 1 species